rnacentral:snoRNA from 1 species
UGCAGCCCCGUCAAAUUCAGUCCCUGCCUCCUCCGUGGCGGGGACUGGCCAGCCCCGCCGCCGCAACAA